UGAAAGGGUUUCUGCAUUUGCCCGUCUUUUGACCGAAAACGUCUUUAUUAAAAGCUCAUAUAAAAAACGACGAGACUGACUUUGAAACUAACUUCGCAUAAAAUAUCGUACGUGGCAGCGGACAAUUUAGGUUAAAUUUUAGCUCACAGUUGACAUCGGUUUGCAACACGGCCGCUCAUGUUAUACCACAGGUUGUACAUAUAGACGUCAUAGUACUUAAAUUGAAGAGGCGACAAAUAUAGGCCCCCACGUAAACGUACACUUAUCAGAGUUUAUAAAUAUAAAUGAUUUUGUGGUUAAAUUUUAACUGAAAGUUCAAGUUGCCAAAAUUUUGUUGAAAAACACUGACAAUAGCCAGGAUUUGACUAGAAACACUGAGUAUAGCCACAUGUUCCAGAGAACAGAGAACGAGCGAAGAGACUGGGUGGAGUUACUGCAGGCGCAUUUAAAAUUUUGAGACAGAUCCAACGACCUGAAAAAUAUAAGCAGAACUUCUUCGUCGAAAAUUUAGUACUUUAAGGGCGUUCACUCGAAACGUCAACGUUCUGGUUAUACCGUAACACUUUCGUAAGCGAUUUUUGAUUGGCUUACUCAAGGGUGGGCUUAUAUACGGGGGGGGGAGCUUAUACAUGGACGAUCUUUUGUGUUAGUAAUAAACAAGUCAGACAUAAACAAGUCAGUCAUAAACAGGAAAAUAAACAUGUAUUAAUAACGCGCUUUGCUUCACACAGUGGGCUAUAAAGACAAUGACAAUGUUUUUAAAUAUUCGGUCAUUUGUUCAAAAACAGUUCUCUGCUAUAUUAAAAGACAAUGUCAAUGUUGAGUAACGUAGUGGGCUACUGGGCUAAUAUAUUUAGGGGGCUUAUAUUUGGGGGGCUUAUAUUCGGGUGGGCUUAUAUUC